UGCUUGUGCACGCACUUCCAGGGACCAGCAGCACGUCACCAUCACUUUUUGAGAAGUGAGUGAUGGUCAGCCGAAACCGUUGUCACUCCAAUGGAAGCCCGCUGCCUUGUCAUGGGACCUUCAGACAGCCUGUGGAGAAGCCUGUGUGCCUAGAAAUAAACUAUCCCAGCCGACAAGGAACCAAAGCCUGUGGACAACGGAAAGAUGAAAACAGAGCUGAAGCAGAAAAAGAUUUGUGCAGUGUUUGGAGAAGAUGCUAUGACUAAUCAAAUGUCUUAGAAGUGGUUUGCAAAGUUUUGUGCUGGAGAUUUUUUGUUGGAGGAUGCUGCUCUGUAGUCAGAUAGACCAGCUGAAGUUGAUAGCACAAUCAAAUCAAGACAUUAAUUGAGAACAAUCAACAUAUCGCAAGGUAGAUAUUUUGAGCUGACAUCCUCAAAAUAUCCAAAUAGAGUGCUGAAAAUCAUUUACACUAGCCUGCUUAUGUUCAUUUCUUUGAUGUUUAGUUUCCACAUAAAUUAAGUGGAAAAAAAAAAGACUGUUUCUGCAUGUGAUUCUCUACUGAAAUAUAAUGACAACAUUCUGUUUUUAAAACAAAUUAAAGUGGAUGAUGAAAAGUGGAUGUGGCAUGGAAGAGAGAUCAUGGGGCAAGUGUAAUGAACCACUGCCAACCGCACCAAGGACUGAUCUUCACACAAAGAAGGUGAUGUGUAUAUGGUGGGAUUGUCCUCUAUUAUGAACUCCUUCUGGAAAACCAAACAGUUCCAAUAAGUACUGUUCCCAAUUCGACCAGCUGAAAGAGGCACUUGAAAAUUCCAGAAUUAGUCAAGAGAAAAAACAUAGUCUUCCAUCAGGAUAACACAAGACCACAUGUUUCUCUGAUGACCAGGCAAAAACUAUUGCAGCUUGACUGGAAAGUUUUGAUUUCAUCCACUGUGUUCACCAGACAUAGCACCUUUGGAUUUCCAUUUAUUUCAAUCUUUACCAAAUUCUCUUAAUGGAAAAAAAAAAAAAAUUCAAUUCCCUGGAUAAGAAGAAGCACCAUUCUUUGCUUAAAAAGCAAAGUUUUGGGAUGAUGAAAUUAUGAAGUUGCCUGAAAAAUGGCAGAAG